rnacentral:tRNA from 1 species
UACAAGAUAAUCUAAGUUUAGGAUAUGGGGCUCAUACUUCCAAAGUGCUUUAAGCUCUUGUAA